GGGACACGUGGUAUCCUGUCUGAAUAUGGGGGGACCAUCCUCCAAGGCUAAAUACUCCUGACUGACCGAUAGUGAACCAGUACCGUGAGGGAAAGGCGAAAAGAACCCCGGCGAGGGGAGUGAAAAAGAACCUGAAACCGUGUACGUACAAGCAGUGGGAGCACGCUUAGGCGUGUGACUGCGUACCUUUUGUAUAAUGGGUCAGCGACUUAUAUUCUGUAGCAAGGUUAACCGAAUAGGGGAGCCGAAGGGAAACCGAGUCUUAACUGGGCGUUAAGUUGCAGGGUAUAGACCCGAAACCCGGUGAUCUAGCCAUGGGCAGGUUGAAGGUUGGGUAACACUAACUGGAGGACCGAACCGACUAAUGUUGAAAAAUUAGCGGAUGACUUGUGGCUGGGGGUGAAAGGCCAAUCAAACCGGGAGAUAGCUGGUUCUCCCCGAAAGCUAUUUAGGUAGCGCCUCGUGAAUUCAUCUCCGGGGGUAGAGCACUGUUUCGGCAAGGGGGUCAUCCCGACUUACCAACCCGAUGCAAACUGCGAAUACCGGAGAAUGUUAUCACGGGAGACACACGGCGGGUGCUAACGUCCGUCGUGAAGAGGGAAACAACCCAGACCGCCAGCUAAGGUCCCAAAGUCAUGGUUAAGUGGGAAACGAUGUGGGAAGGCCCAGACAGCCAGGAUGUUGGCUUAGAAGCAGCCAUCAUUUAAAGAAAGCGUAAUAGCUCACUGGUCGAGUCGGCCUGCGCGGAAGAUGUAACGGGGCUAAACCAUGCACCGAAGCUGCGGCAGCGACACUAUGUGUUGUUGGGUAGGGGAGCGUUCUGUAAGCCUGUGAAGGUGUGCUGUGAGGCAUGCUGGAGGUAUCAGAAGUGCGAAUGCUGACAUAAGUAACGAUAAAGCGGGUGAAAAGCCCGCUCGCCGGAAGACCAAG
rnacentral:rRNA from 1 species